rnacentral:rRNA from 1 species
CCGGCGGAGGAUGGGCAUGCGGCGCAUUAGCUGGUUGGCGGGGUAACGGCCCACCAAGGCGACGAUGCGUAGGGGUUCUGAGAGGAAGGUCCCCCACACUGGUACUGAGACACGGACCAGACUCCUACGGGAGGCAGCAGUGAGGAAUAUUGGUCAAUGGGCGGGAGCCUGAACCAGCCAAGUCGCGUGAGGGAAGACGGUCCUAUGGAUUGUAAACCUCUUUAGGCGGGGAGCAAUGCCGGGCACGCGUGCCCGGAGGGAGAGUACCCGCAGAAAAAGCAUCGGCUAACUCCGUGCCAGCAGCCGCGGUAAUACGGAGGAUGCGAGCGUUAUCCGGAUUUAUUGGGUUUAAAGGGUGCGUAGGCGGAUUUUUAAGUCAGCGGUAAAAUGUCCGGGCUCAACCCGGGCCGGCCGUUGAAACUGGGGAUCUUGAGUGGGCGAGAAGUAUGCGGAAUGCGUGGUGUAGCGGUGAAAUGCAUAGAUAUCACGCAGAACUCCGAUUGCGAAGGCAGCAUACCGGCGCCCGACUGACGCUGAGGCACGAAAGCGUGGGGAUCGAACAGGAUUAGAUACCCUGGUAGUCCACGCAGUAAACGAUGAAUGCUAGUUGUCCGGU